rnacentral:rRNA from 1 species
AGACCCGAAACCCGGUGAUCUAGCCAUGGGCAGGUUGAAGGUUGGGUAACACUAACUGGAGGACCGAACCGACUAAUGUUGAAAAAUUAGCGGAUGACCUGUGGCUGGGGGUGAAAGGCCAAUCAAACCGGGAGAUAGCUGGUUCUCCCCGAAAGCUAUUUAGGUAGCGCCUCGUGAAUUCAUCUCCGGGGGUAGAGCACUGUUUCGGCUAGGGGGCCAUCCCGGCUUACCAACCCGAUGCAAACUGCGAAUACCGGAGAAUGUUAUCACGGGAGACACACGGCGGGUGCUAACGUCCGUCGUGAAGAGGGAAACAACCCAGACCGCCAGCUAAGGUCCCAAAGUCAUGGUUAAGUGGGAAACGAUGUGGGAAGGCCCAGACAGCCAGGAUGUUGGCUUAGAAGCAGCCAUCAUUUAAAGAAAGCGUAAUAGCUCACUGGUCGAGUCGGCCUGCGCGGAAGAUGUAACGGGGCUAAACCAUGCACCGAAGCUGCGGCAGCGAACGUAUCACCCAAGACAACUUUACGGAGUUGACGAUUGACGGAGCGAAGCGACGUCAAAGCGUUCAUUAAAGUCGAGUUGGCUUAGGGAUACGUUCGUUGGGUAGGGGAGCGUUCUGUAAGCCUGCGAAGGUGGCCUGUGAGGGUUGCUGGAGGUAUCAGAAGUGCGAAUGCUGACAUAAGUAACGAUAAAGCGGGUGAAAAGCC